AUUGAACGCUGGCGGCAUGCUUUACACAUGCAAGUCGGACGAGUGGCGAACGGGUGAGUAACGCAUCGGACCGUACCGAGCAAUGGGGGAUAACUGUCCGACAGGACAGCUAAUACCGCAUAUUAUUCGAGCGGCCGAUGUUUGAUUAGAUGGUUGGCGGGGUAAAGGCCCACCAAGGCGACGAUCAGUAGCGGGUCGGAGAGGAUGAUAAGCCACACUGGGACUGAGCCACGGCCCAGACCCCACCGGGAGGCAGCAGUGGGGAAUUUUGGACAAUGGGCGGAACCCUGGGCCAGCCAUGCCGCGUGUCGGAAGAAGGCAUUCGGGUUGUAAAGGUCUUUUGUCAGUGAAGCGGUACCUUAAGAAUAAGCACCGGCUAACUACGUGCCAGCAGCCGCGGUAAUUC
rnacentral:rRNA from 1 species